rnacentral:rRNA from 1 species
GUUAUAAGACGAGUCGGGAAGGUUUUUCGCUAAGGGAUCAGUCUAUGUUCCAUCAGUUAGUUGGUGAGGUAAUGGCUCACCAAGACUAUGACGGAUAUCUGGUUUGAGAGGAUGAUCAGACACACUGGAACUGAGACACGGUCCAGACUCCUACGGGAGGCAGCAGUGAGGAAUAUUGCACAAUGGAGGAAACUCUGAUGCAGCAACGCCGCGUGGAGGAUGACGCAUUUCGGUGUGUAAACUCCUUUUAUUAGGGAAGAUAAUGACGGUACCUACUGAAUAAGCACCGGCUAACUCCGUGCCAGCAGCCGCGGUAAUACGGAGGGUGCAAGCGUUACUCGGAAUCACUGGGCGUAAAGGGUGCGUAGGCUGGCUUCUAAGUCAGAUGUGAAAUCCAAUGGCUCAACCAUUGAACUGCAUUUGAAACUGGGAGCCUAGAGUUCAGAAGGGGCAGAUGGAAUUAGUGGUGUAGGGGUAAAAUCCGUAGAUAUCACUAGGAAUAUCAAAAGCGA